AGUAUUAUCUUACAAUAAUAUAUACGUUUUCAAAACAUGAUUUUAUUUAUAAGAGUGCGUAACAUUUUGUUCAUUUUGUGCACAACCACAUUUUAUUCACGAAAGUAUAAACUUGCGCUGUGUUUGUGUAAAUUUAAUUCGUCAAAUGUAAAUAUUUUAAAUGUUAAUGGGACGAACAAAUUCUUAAAAUGUACAAUAUCUCCAUAUAACAUGCCUGUUAGACUCUCAAUAGACAUAGAAUCCCGUUUUAUUUUUUACGCGGUUUUUUUAAAGGCGAGUCCGAACAAUAUAAAUAGUAAAGCCAAAAAUUUAAAGUUAUAUAAUUAAUUGAAAAAAGUAUAUCGGUUUCGAAUGUCAUACAAUAAUUAUUUUCUUCUUUGGUGUCAAAGUAAACUACAUUUUCGUACAGAAAAUAUUUCACAGUACAUGUAUGUAAAAUUUGUUAAAUAUUCUCAUAAUCGUUUGUUUCAUAUCAUAAAACUGCACGCGACUGGAUGUAGUUAUAAAGAGGCCACAGAGGCUCUGCAACGAACGGUGGCCAAAAGUAUUUUCACAGCAUAUAGCCUGGCAACAACUCACCGCUCGAGCAUAAAAGAAUAUUGAUCAAGCGCCCUAGCAGAUAGACGUAAAGCCUGGUGAACACAAAGACGCUAACAUCCUGCAGAAACGUUCAACAUGGCUGACAACACCGUACGUUCGGAAGAUGUGUAAGGACAAAAGUGGGAUCGUUGCAUUACAGACACCGGUUUACUGUUAACUGUUGAGUUAUCGAUCCGGACAGAACUUAAGUGUGCACCACUGCAGUAUGAUGACAUUUAAGUUUUAUAGACUUUCAUGCAAUAGUUACUGUCACACAGCUCCGGACAUUGAAAGUGGAAGGACGGAGAACCACACAGAAACAAUAUCGGCGAAUGAUGAUGUAUAUUUGUUUUAAGUUUCGUGAAAUAGGUACUGUGAAAUAGCUCCGGACGUACAACCUUCCUGAAUUUCAAUCUAUUAAGGGGCAAUAAAUUAAUAACGCGUGCACCGCAGUAUGAUUGAACACAUUCAUAUUAAGUUUAAUGAAAUUUAAUAAAUAAUUAUUGAUAAACACCUCCGGACAUCGCCAAAAUAAUAUUCCUUCACUGUCUUAGAGGGGUAAAAAGCCAUCAUAAUGGAGGUGUCAUUUUGUCUACUUACAUGAGUUGGCGCAUUCGGAUUAAAUGCGUAUUCUACAUGCAAUAAUAAAUGCAUGCAAAAAUAAAUAUCUUUCUUGCAACAAGCGUAAAUCUACUGCAAAUCUUAGCAAAACAUUUGCAAACGUAUGUGCGUGUGUAUAGUGACGCAAUCAUACGUUUUUCCAUAGGUAAU